UGGGGAAUUUUGGACAAUGGGGGAAACCCUGAUCCAGCCAUCCCGCGUGUGCGAUGAAGGCCUUCGGGUUGUAAAGCACUUUUGGCAGGAAAGAAACGUCGCGGGUUAAUACCCCGCGAAACUGACGGUACCUGCAGAAUAAGCACCGGCUAACUACGUGCCAGCAGCCGCGGUAAUACGUAGGGUGCAAGCGUUAAUCGGAAUUACUGGGCGUAAAGCGUGCGCAGGCGGUUCGGAAAGAAAGAUGUGAAAUCCCAGAGCUUAACUUUGGAACUGCAUUUUUAACUACCGGGCUAGAGUGUGUCAGAGGGAGGUGGAAUUCCGCGUGUAGCAGUGAAAUGCGUAGAUAUGCGGAGGAACACCGAUGGCGAAGGCAGCCUCCUGGGAUAACACUGACGCUCAUGCACGAAAGCGUGGGGAGCAAACAGGAUUAGAUACCCUGGUAGUCCACGCCCUAAACGAUGUCAACUAGCUGUUGGGGCCUUCGGGCCUUGGUAGCACAGCUAACGCGUGAAGUUGACCGCCUGGGGAGUACGGUCGCAAGAUUAAAACUCAAAUGAAUUGACGGGGUCG
rnacentral:rRNA from 1 species